CGUGGGAGGGGGCUUGCCCCCGAUAUCGGUGUAUCAGUCACAGCAACAUCGACUGGUCUACCGCUAUCGGGGGCAAGCCCCCUCCCACA
rnacentral:antisense_RNA from 1 species